GAUGAACGCUGGCGGCGUGCCUAAUACAUGCAAGUCGAGCGAACAGACGAGGAGCUUGCUCCUCUGACGUUAGCGGCGGACGGGUGAGUAACACGUGGAUAACCUACCUAUAAGACUGGGAUAACUUCGGGAAACCGGAGCUAAUACCGGAUAAUAUAUUGAACCGCAUGGUUCAAUAGUGAAAGACGGUUUUGCUGUCACUUAUAGAUGGAUCCGCGCCGCAUUAGCUAGUUGGUAAGGUAACGGCUUACCAAGGCAACGAUGCGUAGCCGACCUGAGAGGGUGAUCGGCCACACUGGAACUGAGACACGGUCCAGACUCCUACGGGAGGCAGCAGUAGGGAAUCUUCCGCAAUGGGCGAAAGCCUGACGGAGCAACGCCGCGUGAGUGAUGAAGGUCUUUGGAUCGUAAAACUCUGUUAUUAGGGAAGAACAAAUGUGUAAGUAACUAUGCACGUCUGGACGGUACCUAAUCAGAAAGCCACGGCUAACUACGU
rnacentral:rRNA from 1 species